GACGAACGCUGGCGGCGUGCUUAACACAUGCAAGUCGAACGGAAAGGCCCUGCUUUUGUGGGGUGCUCGAGUGGCGAACGGGUGAGUAACACGUGAGUAACCUGCCCUUGACUUUGGGAAAACUUCAGGAAACUGGGGCUAAUACCGGAUAGGAGCUCCUCCUGAAUUGUGGGGGUUGGAAAGUUUCGGCGGUUGGGGAUGGACUCGCGGCUUAUCAGCUUGUUUGUGGGGUAGUGGCUUACCAAGGCUUUGACGGGUAGCCGGCCUGAGAGGGUGACCGGCCACAUUGGGACUGAGAUACGGCCCAGACUCCUACGGGAGGCAGCAGUGGGGAAUAUUGCACAAUGGGCGGAAGCCUGAUGCAGCAACGCCGCGUGCGGGAUGACGGCCUUCGGGUUGUAAACCGCUUUCGCCUGUGACGAAGCGUGAGUGACGGUAAUGGGUAAAGAAGCACCGGCUAACUACGUG
rnacentral:rRNA from 1 species